UACCAGUCCCCUGAGUGGUAGGGAUGAUUAUUUGGCCUAAAGCGUCCGUAGCCGGCUUGGUAAGUCCUUCGUGAAAUCCAGCGACUCAAUCGUUGGGCGUGCGAGGGAUACUGCUAGGCUUGAGGGCGGGAGAGGUCGACGGUAUUUCGGGGGUAGGGGUAAAAUCCUAUAAUCCUCGGAGGACCACCAGUAGCGAAGGCGGUCGACUAGAACGUGCCUGACGGUGAUGGACGGAAGCUGGGGGAGCGAACCGGAUUAGACACCCGGGUAGUCCCAGCCGUAAACGAUGCGGGCUAGGUGUUGGGGUAGCCACGAGCUGCUCCAGUGCCGCAGAGAAGUCAUUAAGCCCGCCGCCUGGGAAGUACGGUCGCAAGACUGAAACUUAAAGGAAUUGGCGGGGAGCACCACAAGGGGUGAAGCCUGCGGUUC
rnacentral:rRNA from 1 species